rnacentral:rRNA from 1 species
AUGUAAAUUUUUGUGUGAGUAAUUAAUUUUUUAAAUAAAAAUUAAUUUAUAUUAAAUCGCAGAUAAUUAGUAUUAUUAAUUAAAGAAAUUUAGAAAUAGUAAUAUUAAAUUAGAAUUGGUUAAAUUUGUGCCAGCAUCCGCGGUUAUACAAAUGAUUCAAGUAAAUUUUUUCAGUGAAAGUUAAUAUUUAUAAAAAAAAUAAAACUAAAUUAUUAAGUGAAAUUUAAAUUAAAAAUUUUAUUGUGAAUAAUUUGAAGCUUGUAAAUUUUAAUAAUAAACUAGGAUUAGAUACCCUAUUAUUUAAAAUGUAAAUUUAAGCACUAAAGUAGUAUUAGUUAUGUUCUUGAAACUUAAAAAAUUUGGCGGUAUUUUAGUCUAUUCAGAGGAACCUGUUCUGUAAUCGAUAAUCCACGAUGGACCUUACUUAAAUUUGUUAAUCAGUUUAUAUACCGUCGUUAUUAGAAUAUUUUAUAAGAAUAAUAAUUUUCAUAAAAUUUUAUUAAAUUAUAUAUCAGAUCAAGGUGUAGCUUAUAUUUAAGUAGAAAUGGGUUACAAUAAAUUUAUUUAAACGAAUAUAAAUAUGAAAAAUUUAUUGAAGGUGGAUUUGAUAGUAAAAUUAUAAAGAUAAAUAAUUUGAUUUUAGCUCUAAAAUAUGUACACAUCGCCCGUCGCUCUUAUUAAUAAGAUAAGAUAAGUCGUAACAUAGUAGAUGUA